rnacentral:rRNA from 1 species
GGAAUUAUUGGGCGUAAAGAGCUCGUAGGCGGUUUGUCGCGUCUGCUGUGAAAUCCCGAGGCUCAACCUCGGGCCUGCAGUGGGUACGGGCAGACUAGAGUGCGGUAGGGGAGAUUGGAAUUCCUGGUGUAGCGGUGGAAUGCGCAGAUAUCAGGAGGAACACCGAUGGCGAAGGCAGAUCUCUGGGCCGUAACUGACGCUGAGGAGCGAAAGGGUGGGGAGCAAACAGGCUUAGAUACCCUGGUAGUCCACCCCGUAAACGUUGGGAACUAGUUGUGGGGUCCAUUCCACGGAUUCCGUGACGCAGCUAACGCAUUAAGUUCCCCGCCUGGGGAGUACGGCCGCAAGGCUAAAACUCAAAGGAAUUGACGGGGACCCGCACAAGCGGCGGAGCAUGCGGAUUAAUUCGAUGCAACGCGAAGAACCUUACCAAGGCUUGACAUAUACGAGAACGGGCCAGAAAUGGUCAACUCUUUGGACACUCGUAAACAGGUGGUGCAUGGUUGUCGUCAGCUCGUGUCGUGAGAUGUUGGGUUAAGUCCCGCAACGAGCGCAACCCUCGUUCUAUGUUGCCAGCACGUAAUGGUGGGAACUCAUGGGAUACUGCCGGGGUCAACUCGGAGGAAGGUGGGGAUGACGUCAAAUCAUCAUGCCCCUUAUGUCUUGGGCUUCACGCAUGCUACAAUGGCCGGUACAAAGGGCUGCAAUACCGUGAGGUGGAGCGAAUCCCAAAAAGCCGGUCCCAGUUCGGAUUGAGGUCUGCAACUCGACCUCAUGAAGUCGGAGUCGCUAGUAA